ACCCUACGGGGCGCAGCAGUGAGGAAUAUUGGUCAAUGGGCGGGAGCCUGAACCAGCCAAGUCGCGUGAGGGACGACGGUCCUAUGGAUUGUAAACCUCUUUUGUCGGGGAACAAAGGCGCCCACGGGUGGGCGGAUGAGUGUACCCGAGGAAAAAGCAUCGGCUAACUACGUGCCAGCAGCCGCGGUAAUACGUAGGGGGCAAGCGUUAUCCGGAUUUACUGGGUGUAAAGGGAGCGUAGACGGCAGCGCAAGUCUGAAGUGAAAUGCCGGGGCUUAACCCCGGAACUGCUUUGGAAACUGUGC
rnacentral:rRNA from 1 species